rnacentral:rRNA from 1 species
GACGAACGCUGGCGGCGUGCUUAACACAUGCAAGUCGAACGGAAAGGCCCUGCUUUUGUGGGGUGCUCGAGUGGCGAACGGGUGAGUAACACGUGAGUAACCUGCCCUUGACUUUGGGAUAACUUCAGGAAACUGGGGCUAAUACCGGAUAGGAGCUCCUGCUGCAUGGUGGGGGUUGGAAAGUUUCGGCGGUUGGGGAUGGGCUCGCGGCUUAUCAGCUUGUUGGUGGGGUAGUGGCUUACCAAGGCUUUGACGGGUAGCCGGCCUGAGAGGGUGACCGGCCACAUUGGGACUGAGAUACGGCCCAGACUCCUACGGGAGGCAGCAGUGGGGAAUAUUGCACAAUGGGCGGAAGCCUGAUGCAGCAACGCCGCGCGCGGGAUGACGGCCUUCGGGUUGUAAACCGCUUUCGCCUGUGACGAAGCGUGAGUGACGGUAAUGGGUAAAGAAGCACCGGCUAACUACGUG